UACGGGGGGGGCAAGCGUUGUUCGGAAUUACUGGGCGUAAAGGGCUCGUAGGUGGCCAACUAAGUCAGACGUGAAAUCCCCAGGCUCAACUUGGGAACUGCGUCUGAUACUGGAUGGCUUGAAUUCGGGAGAGGGAUGCAGAAUUCCAGGUGUAGCGGUGAAAUGCGUAGAUAUCUGGAGGAAUACCGGUGGCGAAAGCGACUCUCUGGACGGCAACUGACGCUGAGGCACGAAAGCGUGGGGAGCAAACAGG
rnacentral:rRNA from 1 species